rnacentral:lncRNA from 1 species
AUUUUGGUCCCUACAAAGUGGUUGACAGGAUAGGAAAUGUAACCUACAAGCUAGAACUGCCUGCUGAAUCCCAACUCCUCCAUGUAUUCUGUGUCCCAGCUAAAAAGAAAGAUAGUAGAUCAUCAAUAGUCAGGGUCCCAACAAUCAAUACCAAAUGCAGCCGCUGGGAUGGAACCAACAUCUGUAUUGGCUUGAAUGAGGGUUAAGAGAGGGAACAAACCUACUAUACAGAUAUUGGUGCAGUACACCAACUCCUUCCCUGAAGAUGCG